rnacentral:tRNA from 1 species
UGGGGUGCAGCUCAGCAGUAGAGUACUUGCCUGGCAUGCACAAAGGCCUGGGUUUGANCCCCCAGCACCACAA